AUGAAUAGCCUAAAUGAAUCCACCCCCCCCAGUCAUAUUAAUACUCACAUUCCUCGAGGCACAGGCCGAGGAGGUGGAGUAGCAGCUAUAUAUGAUUCGAGCGUUUUAAUGGACCCUAAACCUAAACUAAAUUAUAAUUCAUUUGAAAGCCUUGUUCUUAGUCUUUCUCACCCAAACUGGAAAACACUGCAGCCAGUUCUAUUUGUUAUAGUGUACCGUGCUCCUGGACCGUACUCUGAUUUUAUAUCUGAAUUCUCAGAGUUUUUAUCAAGUUUAGUCCUUAAAUCAGAUAAAGUAAUUAUUGUAGGUGAUUUUAAUAUUCAUGUGGAUGUUGAAAAUGACAGCCUUAGUAAUGCAUUUAUAUCAUUAAUAGACUCAAUUGGCUUCUGUCAGAGUGUAAAUAAACCAACUCAUUGUUUUAAUCACACUCUUGACCUUGUUUUAUCAUAUGGCAUUGAUAUUGAACAUUUAAUAGUCUUCCCACAUAAUCCUUUCCUAUCUGACCAUUAUUUAGUAACUUUUGAAUUCAUACUAUUAGAUUAUAAGCCAUUAGGCAAAACUUCCUACAGCAGAUGUCUAUCUGACAGUGCUGUAGCUAAAUUUAAGGAGGAGAUUCCUUCAGUGUUUAAUUCAAUGCCAUGUCUGAAUUUAACAGAGUCCUAUAACAACUUUAGUCCCUCUGAAAUUGAUAAUCUUGUCGAUAGUGCUACAGGCUCACUACGAUCAACAUUAGACUCUAUCGCUCCUAUAAAAAGGAAAUUAUUAAAACAUAGGAGACUAGCACCUUGGUAUAACCACCAAACCCGCCAGUUAAAGCAAAUAGCUAGGAAAUCUGAAAGGAAAUGGCGCUCUUCCAAAUUAUCAGAAUAUCGCUCAAAUUGGCAAGAUGAUCUUAAGAUUUAUAGAAAGGCCCUCCGUAAUGCCAGAGGAGCCUAUUACUCAGCACUAAUAGAAGAAAAUAAGAACAACCCUAGGUUCCUCUUCAGCACUGUAGCCAGGCUGACAGAGAGUCACAGCUCUAUCGAGCCACAUAUCCCCAUAAACUUAAGUAGCAAUGACUUCAUGAGCUUCUUCUAUAAUAAAAUUAUUACUAUUAGAGAAAAAAUUAAUCACCAACUGCCAUCAACAGUUAUCAGUGGCUCUCCAAGUUCAGGGACUUCUGUCAAUGUAAACUUAGAUGUAUAUUUAGACUGUUUUUCUGCUAUCGAUCUUCAUCAGUUAACUUCAAUCAUUUCUUCAUCGAAGCCAUCAACCUGUCUAUUAGACCCGAUCCCAACUAGGCUGCUUAAAGAAGUUGUUCCCUUAAUUGGCACUUCUUUACUGGAUAUGAUUAAUCUUUCUUUAUUAUCAGGAUAA
rnacentral:lncRNA from 15 species